rnacentral:rRNA from 1 species
UACCUGUGUUGAUCCUGCCAUUAGUCAUAUGCUUGUCUCAAACAUUAAGCCGUGCUUGUCUCACUAUACCUGUUUCACUGCGAAACUGCUAAUGGCUCAUUAAAACAGCUAUCGUUUCCAUGUCAGUUGUUUAUUACCUGUACAUCCACGGAAAUUCUACAGCUAAUACAUGCGCUCCAGACCCGCACUUUUGCGCAAGGGUUGUGCUUAUUAGACACUGAACCAUCCCGGCUUGCCCGGUUUCGAGGUGAUUGAUGGUAAUCUAACUAAUCUCACGCUUCGGCGGCGAUAAUUCAUUCAAGUUUCUGACCUAUCAGCUUCCGACGGUACGGCAUUGCCCUACCGUGGCUUUGACGGGUAACGGAGAAUUACGGUUUGAUUCCGGAUAGCGAGCCUGAAAAACGGCUACCACAUCUCAAGAAGGCAUCAAGCGCGCAAAUUACCCUAUCCUGACACAGGGAUGUAGUGACAACAAAUACCAAUAUGACGCUCUUUUGUCUUGUAAUUGGAAGGAGCACAUAUUCAAAAAGCUGUUCGAGUAUCUAUUGGACGGCAAGUCUGG